CAGUAGCCGCGGGAAUACGGAGGGGGCUAGCGUCGUUCGGAUUUACUGGGCGUAAAGGGCGCGUAGGCGGGCGAAUAAGUCAGGGGUGAAAUCCCAAGGCUCAACCUUGGAACUGCCUUUGAUACUGUUUGUCUUGAGUUCGAGAGAGGUAAGUGGAACUGCGAGUGCAGAGGUGAAAUUCGUAGAUAUUCGCAAGAACACCAGUGGCGAAGGCGGCUUACUGGCUCGAAACUGACGCUGAGGCGCGAAAGCGUGGGGAGCAAACAGGAUUAGAUACCCCUGUAGUCCCUGUCUCUUAUAC
rnacentral:rRNA from 1 species